rnacentral:rRNA from 1 species
UACGAAGGGGGCUAGCGUUGCUCGGAAUGACUGGGCGUAAAGGGCGCGUAGGCGGCGCGGUAAGUCACUUGUGAAAUCUCUGAGCUUAACUCAGAACGGCCAAGUGAUACUGCAGUGCUAGAGUGUGGAAGGGGCAAUCGGAAUUCUUGGUGUAGCGGUGAAAUGCGUAGAUAUCAAGAGGAACACCUGAGGUGAAGACGGGUUGCUGGGCCAACACUGACGCUGAUGCGCGAAAGCCAGGGGAGCAAACGGG